UACGUAGGCAGCAAGCGUUGUUCGGAGUUACUGGGCGUAAAGGGUGUGUAGGCGGUUCUGUAAGUUUGGUGUUAAAUCUCCCGGCUCAACUGGGAGGGUGCGCCGAAUACUGAGGGACUAGAGUACGGGAGAGGAAAGUGGAAUUCCUGGUGUAGCGGUGAAAUGCGUAGAUACCAGGAGGAACACCAAUAGCGAAGGCAGCUCGCUGGGACGUUACUGACACUGAGGCGCGAAAGCGUGGGGAGCGAACAGG
rnacentral:rRNA from 1 species